rnacentral:rRNA from 1 species
CACGUAGGGGACGAGCGUUGUCCGGAUUCAUUGGGCGUAAGCGCGCGUAGGCGGCUCGGAAAGUCGGAUCGUGAAAUGCCGGGGCUCAACCCGUGCGUCGGCCAGGGAUACCUGCCGCGGCCUCGGAGCACUGUAGAGGCAGGCGGAAGUUCCGGGUCGGUAGCGGUGGAAUGCGUAGAGAUCCGGAAGAACACCGGUGGCGAAGCGGCCGCUGGGCAGUUGCUGACACUGAGGCGCGACAGCGUGGGGAGCAAACAGG